AGCUCCAAUAGCGGAAAUUAAUGUUGUUGCAGUUAAAAAGCUCGUAGUUGGAUUUCUGACUCUGAGACGCCUGUUCCCGCUUCCAAACCGGUUGUGCGUGACGUGGCGUCCUAGUCAUCCUUCCAGAGAACUCCCUCUCCUUAAUUGGUGCUGGGUAGCUAUCUGGAUCUUUUACUUUGAAAAAAUUAGAGUGUUCAAAGCAGGCUUGUGCUGUGAAUAUAUUAGCAUGGAAUAAUAAUCUAGGACUUCUGUUCUAUUUUGUUGGUUCUUGAGAACUUGAAGUAAUGAUUGAUAGGGAUAGUUGGGGGUGCUAGUAUUCAUCGGCCAGAGGUGAAAUUCUCGGAUUCGAUGAAGACUAACUAAUGCGAAAGCAUUCACCAAGGAUGUCUUCUUUAAUCAA
rnacentral:rRNA from 1 species